CGCCGCCUCCCAGCGGGUGGCGCUGGCGAGUCGCCGACGGAGAGCGGCGGGGGCUGCGCGGGAGCGGAGCGGGAACGGGAACGCACCGGGAACGCACCGGGAACGGGAACGCACCGGGAACGGGAACGCACCGGGAACGGGAACGCACCGGGAACGCACCGGGAACGGAGCCGGAGCGGAGCCGGGAGAGGGAACGGAGCGGGAGUGGGAGCGGGAGCCGGGUCUGGCGCGGCAGCCCCGUCGUGGGUGGCGGGAGGCUGCGGAGAAGUGCCUGGAUCCGAGGCGAGAUCCUCAGCUGGGAUAAAUCAGCUCCUCUUCCCUGUGGCCGAGGGAGGUGGGAAGAUGCCCAGCGGUUCCGGAUACAACUUGCCUCGUUUAGAGACUGGACCACUUCUUUUCCCUGGACUCUGAAACACAAGCUCCUAAGACCUUGUUUUGGAGAAGCAGACCUUGCAAUCAGACUCAACCAGCUUCCUACAGGCUGCCAGUUCAGUUAUUUCACCAGCUACUUUGGUGGGAAUGAGGGUCAUUUCUCCCGUCAUUGAUUGGGGCUGCUGGGACAUGGCUACCUUUCUAGACAAAGGAGGGCUGUAGCCAUGAUGGAAAAUUUUUUGGGG
rnacentral:lncRNA from 1 species